rnacentral:rRNA from 1 species
AACACGUGAGUAACCUGCCCUUGACUCUGGGAUAACCUCCGGAAACGGAAGCUAAUACCGGAUACGAACUGCGAAGGCAUCUUCAGCAGUUGGAAAGAACUUCGGUCAAGGAUGGACUCGCGGCCUAUCAGGUAGUUGGUGAGGUAAAGGCUCACCAAGCCUACGACGGGUAGCCGGCCUGAGAGGGUGACCGGCCACACUGGGACUGAGACACGGCCCAGACUCCUACGGGAGGCAGCAGUGGGGAAUAUUGCACAAUGGGCGCAAGCCUGAUGCAGCAACGCCGCGUGAGGGAUGACGGCCUUCGGGUUGUAAACCUCUUUUAGUAGGGAAGAAGCGAAAGUGACGGUACCUGCAGAAAAAGCACCGGCUAACUACGUGCCAGCAGCCGCGGUAAUACGUAGGGUGCGAGCGUUGUCCGGAAUUAUUGGGCGUAAAGAGCUCGUAGGCGGUCUGUCGCGUCUGCUGUGAAAACCCGAGGCUCAACCUCGGGCCUGCAGUGGGUACGGGCAGACUAGAGUGCGGUAGGGGAGAAUGGAAUUCCUGGUGUAGCGGUGGAAUGCGCAGAUAUCAGGAGGAACACCGAUGGCGAAGGCAGUUCUCUGGGCCGUAACUGACGCUGAGGAGCGAAAGCGUGGGGAGCGAACAGGAUUAGAUACCCUGGUAGUCCACGCCGUAAACGUUGGGCGCUAGAUGUGGG